GAGAUAUCGAGUUAUGAAACCAAUUAACAAGUUUUUGUUAAACCACAGGCAGUCACUUAUAAGUGCUUGGUGGCAUUUCGUUGGGUGUGGUGAGAGAGAACAAGAAGAGGAGGAUAUAAAGGUUUUCUUUACCAACAAGAGAACAGAACAGCAUUCAGAAAGCAAGAAAGCAUAGAGGACAGUGAGUAUGAGGGAGAUCCAAGAUAGCAUGAGAGAAGGGCGGGUGGGGAUUUCUUUGAAGAAAUUGUGGUGGUUGGAUCACUUUGCCUUUGUUUCUUCAGCAGAAGGCUUUACAAAGAAUACGAAGAGAAAAGAGCAUUUAGUUCAGAUCAUUUUCAGUGCCGUUUUUGCUUUCUCUUGCACUCUCCUUCAACUCGUCCUCUUCAAUUGAGACUUGUAUUGCAAAGAAGAAGAAGAUUGUCCUUUCUCAACUGGAGAUGGAACGAAUUCAGGGAUCAGAGGAGGUAUUUCUUCAAAUGAAUAGUUGGCACGGUUGUAUGAUCUGUUCAAGAUGAUCAAAAGGAGCAAGAUAUUAAAACCAUGGAAGCAGAGGUUCAUGCUUUAGAGGAGCUUUCAAAGCAGCUAUUUUUGGAAAUAUAUGAGCUUCACCAAGCUAAGAUUUAUUUCUAGUAUAUGCUCUUUGACUCUAGGAAAUCCACUUCAUUCUCAAUUUUUUACUAGCUCAUGGAUAAAAUAUUUUUUAUUUAAUAUGUGGGAUAAUUAUGAGCUGGAGUUACAAAGGUCAUCAGGAGAGUACAUUAAAUGACAUGCUGAUGUCUAACAGGUCAAGCAGUGGCUUUUAGAUAUCUUGAUUGAGCUAUUUGAAUGAGGAUGUUCUGUUUCUUUGAUGUUUUUUUGGGCCUGAUUUUGGAGAUAGGAAAAAAUAGUGCAUUACGUUCAGAGAAAGGAGUUUGGUCAGUUGAAGAGGGAGAUUUUAUGUGUCUUGAUGCAGGGGUAUUUAUAUGACUUGGUGGAUGUGUUAACUAUUUCCAUUUUUUUCUUAAAAACAGAAAAACAAAUAUUCUAUAAUGUUUUGUUUCCCCUCAUUCUGAACAACCAGCUCUUAUAUCUUCUGCUUUCUUAACUUUGCAGGAGGCAGCUGCUUUUUCUCAAACUUGGAGGGGUCACAUGCAGUAUUUACUUGGCUAUGCAUGCUCUGUCUAUUAUGUGUACAAAAUGAUUAAAGUAUGGUUAAGACAUUCUUUGAUAGAAGAAUGAGGAUCUUUUGGAUGCCUUUUGUGUGCAAACUGAUUUUGCAAAAUUUGUUUAAUGCAUGAAUAAAGCAAGGUGACUGAAUACUCUAUUUGCUUGGUGCAGUCUCUGCAGAGUGUUAUUUUCAAGGAGGCUGGUUCAGUUGAUCCUGUGACAAGGACUAUCAGCAUAUUUUUACAGUUCUUUGAUAUAGGAAUUAAUGCCGCAUUAUUAUCACAGUGCUUCUUUGCGGUUUCUAGAGUUGGGAGUGGAUCUUCAAGCAAUGCUGUACUUUUCCUGUCUGAAAUCAUGGGAAUGUACUUUGUUUCUUCUAAACUACUGAUAAUAAAAGGCUUAGCAACUGAGUACAGUUCAACUAGGGGAUAACAUCUGUUUCCGAAGCUUCUGGGAAGUCCUCAUGUUGAACAUUUCAUUUUUAGAAGAAAGAGGGAAAACAAAAACUGUUACUGAAAUAAGACCACAUGCACUCAAUACUGGAUUAUUUAUUGUCAGACAUAAGUACAAAAAUGGUGUUACCAGGCUAGAAUGUCAAUUGUUUUUGCAAGGAUAAUCAUAACGGAAGUCUAGGUGGAGAAAUUCAGUUUGACUUCUAUCACUGGUGUUUUGAUGCAAUCUUUGUAGCAAGUUCUUUCCUUUCACUGCUUUUGCUUUCUGCACAUUAUAAGUCUUGCCAGUCUCAUAAACACCCAAUCGAUUGAUGUAUACUUUGUGCAAGUAUGUGCUAAUUCAAUCAUUUCUUUUAUCCCGCGUUAUUCGUCUCAUCAAGCUGAUUAAAACCCAACUGUUUAUUGUUGGAGUUUUUAAGAAACUACAAAUUUGACAGUCAAGACAUUUAUGAGGCUACGGACUUCAAGUAGUGUCAUGAUCAUUUAUGCAUAACAUAUGCUUGGUGCCAUUGGAUUUAUGUAGUAGACUUGCAAUGAGAAGAGUUUGAAAAAUGCCAUAAUGCAUGGGUCAAAUCAAUUGUUUUCUGUCAUCUCAUGUUUAAAGGAAGAGAGUGUUGUCUCUCUUCCUUUCCCAUCACUAGUCCUUACCUAGCAUCACCUGAAAGCUCCUAUUGUUGGUUGAAACCCUCCUAUGGUUCUUGCUUAUACAGUAAUCUCGUCAUCAUUGUGGAUCAUUAAUUAUCAUGCAAGUACUCUAUCAGCAGACCACUUAUUUUGCUGUUGUGCGUCUUUCAUGCAGGAAGCAUACUUGUAAGAUGAUUACUACAAUCCAAAACUAGGAUUCGCUCCAGCUUUAUCAUGAGCACACUAGCUUUCAGUAUCUCAUGUAUUCCUGAGGAUUACAAAAAUGACCUAAGCUAAAACAAACUUGAGGAACAAAGGUUAAAAAUAUUGGAAGACAUUCGAGACAGAUUUUCUUACAAGGUCAACACCAGCAGCUCUGUACCCCUGUAGAGGGUUUUGGAAAAAUACACGUGUAAUGCUAGUCAACUUUGUGAAGGAUGGUGCUGAUGUAAGGUCUGAUUAUUAUUAUGAUUU